rnacentral:snoRNA from 1 species
CGCCUCUCAGGGUCACACCUGGAGAGUUUUCAGUACUCUACCAGUCUCGGCUGUGGGAGGGAAAGUCAAGCAGAGUCAGACCCAUUCCAUUCCUAACUUGGGCAGUGGCUAGCAAGUGGAAGGCAAUAUGCUACAAGU